UAGGGAAUCUUCGGCAAUGGACGAAAGUCUGACCGAGCAACGCCGCGUGAGUGAAGAAGGUUUUCGGAUCGUAAACACUGUUGUAAGAGAAGAAUGACAUUGAGAGUAACUGUUCAAUGUGUGACGGUAUCUUACCAGAAAGGAACGGCUAAAUACGUGCCAC
rnacentral:rRNA from 1 species